rnacentral:tRNA from 1 species
GCCGGAGUGGUGGAAUUGGUAGACACAUCAGACUUAAAAUCUGAAGGGCGUAUUCGCCCGUCCCGGUUCGAGUCCGGGCUCCGGUACUA